CGGAGGUGUUGAGGGGUCCAACCUGGGGAGUCACCUGAUCUCUAGACGCUACAGGAAGGACACCUGGGAGGUCUACAAUCAGAACAUUCCUGGGCUCUGACCUGAUUGGUGGAGAAGGUCCCAGGGGGAGGAAUCACAGACCAUCAUCAGGGGUUAGCUACACUACAACGGGAAGACUCAAGAUUGGGGAUUUCAAAUUAAUCCACUUGGCCUAGCAUCCUUCAACUAUCAAGGGCUCCCCCAAUUUUCCCCAGGAUCAACUAAGUACUCUCAAUGGAAGGUACCCGUUAUUGGUGGAUAAACCUGUUUAAGUGUGGAUGAAUUAUCA
ensembl:lncRNA